rnacentral:rRNA from 1 species
GAUGAACGCUGGCGGCGUGCUUAACACAUGCAAGUCGAACGGAAGGGCCAGUGCUUGCACUGGUACUCGAGUGGCGAACGGGUGAGUAACACGUGGGUGAUCUGCCCUGCACUUCGGGAUAAGCCUGGGAAACUGGGUCUAAUACCGGAUAGGACAAUGGUUUGGAUGCCGUUGUGGAAAGUUUUUUCGGUGUGGGAUGAGCUCGCGGCCUAUCAGCUUGCUGGUGGGGUAAUGGCCUACCAAGGCGUCGACGGGUAGCCGGCCUGAGAGGGUGUACGGCCACAUUGGGACUGAGAUACGGCCCAGACUCCUACGGGAGGCAGCAGUGGGGAAUAUUGCACAAUGGGCGCAAGCCUGAUGCAGCGACGCCGCGUGGGGGAUGACGGCCUUCGGGUUGUAAACUCCUUUCGCUAGGGACGAAGCGUAUUUGUGACGGUACCUGGAGAAGAAGCACCGGCUAACUACGUG